rnacentral:tRNA from 1 species
GGGUGCAUAGCUCAGUUGGUCAGAGCGCACGGUUCACAUCCGUGAGGUCGCUGGUUCGAGUCCAGCUGCGCCCA